CUGGUUCUCCGCGAAAUCUAUUUAGGUAGAGCGUCAGACGAAUACCUUCGGGGGUAGAGCACUGAAUGGGCUAGGGGGCCUUACCGGCUUACCAAACCUAAUCAAACUCCGAAUACCGAAGAGUACUAUCUGGCAGACAGACUACGGGUGCUAAGGUCCGUGGUCGAGAGGGAAACAGCCCAGACCGCCAGUUAAGGUCCCAAAGUUGUGGCUAAGUGGGAAAGGAUGUAGGACGGCCAAGACAACCAGGACGUUGGCUUAGAAGCAGCCAUCGUUUAAAGAAAGCGUAACAGCUCACUGAUCAAGCGCCUCUGCGCGGAAAAUGUAUCGGGACUAAAGUUAUUCGCCGAAAUUGCGGACUCGAAAGAGUGGUAGCGGAGCGUUCCGUAAGCCUGUGAAGGUGAACCGUGAGGUUUGCUGGAGGUAUCGGAAGUGAGAAUGCUGACAUGAGUAGCGACAAACAGGGUGAGAGACCCUGUCGCCGAAAGACCAAGGGUUCCUGCGUAAAGCUAAUCUGCGCAGGGUUAGCCGGCCCCUAAGGCGAGGCCGAAAGGCGUAGUCGAUGGGAAACGGGUUAAUAUUCCCGUACUUGGUAUAAUUGCGAUGGGGGGACGGAGCAGGCUAAACAAGCAUGGCGUUGGUUGUCCAUGUGAAAGUGAGUAGGUUGAGAGUUUAGGAAAAUCCGGACUCUUAAGACUGAGACACGAG
rnacentral:rRNA from 1 species